CUCGGCAAGAGUGAACUAGCUAACUGAAAUCCUCGGCAAGAGUGAACUAGCUAACUGAAAUCACAUAGUGUGUCACAUGUGAUAACGUAAGGGAAAAUAAUGAUAUUACCUUACUAUUAGUGUCGUCCAAAGCUGGUGCCAGAAGACUCGGUAAGGCCAGAGACGCAAACGUUAGUCUUCUUAACCAGGCGUAAAGGGUUGGUAGGCAGCUUAAAAAUUUUAUUUUAAUAUAGCCAUAGUAAAAUAAGACCAAUUAAAGCUAGAAUCAAAUAGAGGUUAAUCCAAAUAAUGCUUAGAGUAGGAGCCAUAUCCUUAGAAACUAAGUGGAAUACUAAGGGCGAAAGCUUUUUAACCAUUAAUGAUUGACGCUGAGAAACGAAGGUGAGGAUAGGGAUUAGGAUUAGAUACCCAGGUACCCCUCUCUGUCAACGAUGAAUGGUAAUUAUUAAUUAUAAAUUAGUGAUGAUGUUAACACGUUAACCAUUCCGCCUUGUGAGUACGAUUGCCAAAUUGAAAACCAAAAAAUUAGUCGGUCUCGAAGCACAACGAAGUGAA
rnacentral:rRNA from 1 species